UGCUAGUGUGGCAGAACCUGGCUAAUGCAAAAGACCUAAGUCCUUUAAACCAGGGGUUCAAAUCCCCUCACUAGCU
rnacentral:tRNA from 1 species